AGGGUGAUGAAGGCCUGCACCCAGCUCCAACUCUACUCUGCUCCUGAAG
rnacentral:snoRNA from 1 species